CCUACGGGAGGCUGCAGUGGGGAAUAUUGGGCAAUGGGCGCAAGCCUGACCCAACAACGCCGCGUGAAUGAAGAAGGCUUUCGGGUUGUAAACUUCUUUUGUCAGGGACAAAGCAAUUGCCUGUACCUGACGAAUAAGCCACGGCUAACUACGUACCACCAGCCGCGGUAAUACGUGGGUGGCAAGCGUUAUCCGGAUGUACUGGGUGUAAAGGGCGUGUAGGCGGGACUGCAAGUCAGAUGUGAAAACCACGGGCUCAACCUGUGAACUGCAUUUGAAACUGUAGUUCUUGAGUACUGGAGAGGGAGACGGAAUUCCUAGUGUAGCGGUGAAAUGCGUAGAGAUUAGGAGGAACACCAGUGGCGAAGGCGGUCUGCUGGACAGCAACUGACGCUGAGGCGCGAAAGCGUGGGGAGCAAACAGGAUGAGAUACCCUUGUAGUC
rnacentral:rRNA from 1 species